rnacentral:snoRNA from 1 species
AAGAUUAUACUUUCAGGUAUUGUUUUAAUACUUUGUUACUAGAGAGGUUUAUCUGAUCGUGUAGAGCACUGGAAAUCAUGAAGAGGAGGUGCAGCAUUCUCUCCUAGAGUGAAGCUGGCUCUUGGUGUUGCUUCACUGUGACUGCCAUUUGCCAUUGAUGAACGUUCUUGCGUUCCUUUGGGGAACAAGAGGGAAAGGACACAGUCUGAGUGGU